CUACGGGCCGUAGCAGUGGGGAAUUUUGCGCAAUGGGGGAAACCCUGACGCAGCAAUACCGCGUGAGUGAAGAAGGCCUUUGGGUCGUAAAGCUCUUUUCUUGGGGAAGAUAGUGACGGUACCCAAGGAAUAAGCACCGGCUAACUCCGUGCCAGCAGCCGCGGUAAUACGGAGGGUGCAAGCGUUGUUCGGAUUUACUGGGCGUAAAGGGCACGUAGGCGGCACAGCAAGUUAAGGGUGAAAUCCCGGGGCUCAACUCCGGAACUGCUCUUAAAACUGCUGAGCUAGAGAUAGUCAGAGGCGGGUGGAAUUCCAGGUGUAGAGGUGAAAUUCGUAGAUAUCUGGAGGAACACCGGUGGCGAAGGCGGCCCGCUGGGGCUAUUCUGACGCUAAGGUGCGAAAGCGUGGGGAGCAAACGGGAUUAGAUACCCUUGUAGUC
rnacentral:rRNA from 1 species